AUCGCGCCGCUGCACUCCAGCCUGGGCAACAAGAGCAAAACCCCAUUUCAAAAAAAAAAAAAGAAUUUUCUAACUCGAACCAUCAUUUCCCACUAAAUCGAACUCAAGAAGAAAUGUCUUCCCCCCAAGCCAGGACACCUGGAAGCCUGGAAAUGUGUUCUUGUGUCCCAAGAGUUCGGCCUGUCACUGAGACCCCACUGCUCUGAGCAAGGUGUUCCUGUCCUCACUCUACAGAUGAGGAGCCUGAGGCUCAGAGCAGGAACAUGACAUGGUCAGUAUCCUCCCAGCUGGGUAGAAGGGGACUGGUUGCAUACCCAAGCCAGGGGCCCAGAGCUGGCCUCUGUGGCAUCUGUGCCAGAGCCAGAGGAAGGCCUGCGUCUACUCCCCAGGGAGCCCAACUGAGCCCACGGGUGGCACAUGAGGACUGGCCUCCUGGACAAACAGAGCCCAGCACAUUAAGGUUUGGCUCAGGAGGACACACAUGUCCCUGCUGCCCAGGACCCCAGUUCUGCCCUAAAUCCUUCCCAACUUGGGAUCCCCCCACUCAGGUUCCUGCUGCAGCUCAUGUUACCCUGGGUGCUUCUGUGACUCCGCUGAUGCUCUGAGCCCAUAUGGCCCCAGCUCAAGGCAGCUGAGAAGUCCCGAAAGACCACAGAGCAACAGAGGCACCCAAAGGUUCAAAGCCCAUCAGUCAUGAUUCACUUGCACAGUUCAGUGUGGCAUCAUCAAGCCCCUGGCUGGCCAACCCCUCUGGUUCCCUGCUUGGGUUCCCAACCACUUGGCUGCUCCUGACCCCGCCCAGCACCAAGACAUGAAGACACCACAGUGAUCAGGGCCAAGAGAGGCAACUUCACCUACUGGGCCUACCCUGUGUCCCCGCUCUGUUCUUUUCCUCUAGGAGAAAUGUGCCUCCACCCAAGCAACUGACCCCAGGAAUAAUCAUAAUUAAUAAUAGUGGCGACUUCCCUUUAUUAAGCACUUGCCAUGUGCCAAGAACUCUUCUAAGUACUUGAUACACAUUAUCUCAUUUAAUCCUCAAAACAAUCCUAUAGGGCUAGUACUAUUAUUAGCUGAUUUUACACGUGAGAGAAGUAAGCACAGAGAAGUCGAAUAACAAGCUCAAGGCCACAUAGCUAGAUAGGCAGGAAGCCAGAUUAUGAGCCCAGAUGGUCUGGUUCCAGAACCUGACCCCUUAAUGAAUACCCUAUAACCUGUGAGUGAAUCCAGUCCCCACCACUGGGUUCAUCCAUCCACUCAUUCAUUCAGUAAACAUUUAUUGAGCACCUACUCUGUGCCGAGGACUUUCCAUGCAUUGCCUCAUUACAAGUUUUAUCACCUGUGAGGUAGAUAUUACUGUCAUUCCCACUUUACAGAUGAGGCAACUGAUGUUCAGAGAGGUUAAGUACAUGCACAAAGACACACAGCCAGCAAAUUGUUCAGCAGGGCAGGAGGAUGCAAGUGCUCAGCCUUCAGAAGGUGGCAUGGGCCAAAAUAUAGUAGACCUGCUGUGCCCAGCCAGGAGGCCUGGGCUCUGCCCUGCUCACAGAUGAUCUCUCUAUUUGGCAGAGGAGGUGGAGUGGCCGCAGAGGGCUGAAAUGACUUGCCCAGAGUCACCCAGCCAGAGAGUGGCAGAACCAGGACUCCAACCCAGGCUGUUGGGCCCCAUCUAAACCCUGUCUGCAUGGGAAGGGAUUUUUAGCAGAGAAGGGCUGCAAUCAGCUUAUGGGCAUGCAGGGGUGGUCCGGUGGGGGAGAUCCUGAGAAGGAUAAGGCCUUCCCAAGCCCACAUCUACUGACUGUUCACUGUGUGCCAGCCCCUUUUGAUCAGUGCAUCUAUUUCUCCAAAUGCCCUGUGACAUAGACUGUCAGCAGCUCCAUUUUACAAGUGUAGAAGCUGAGGCACAGAGAGGACAUAUAACCCUUAAGGUCACUCAGUUAGUAAGUAGCCAAGCCAGGAUUUCAGCCUGGGUUCUUAAGUGCCACCCAAUCCAUUAUUCCAGUUUUUCUUCGAAAGUCCACAUCCCCCUGGGUGGGUUCUCUGCUGCUCCAGGAAGUCAGGAGGGGACAGUGGUUUAUCCCAGGGCCAGACCAGGGCUGGGCACUGGACUCAGAUGAAUUAGCACAGCCCUGCCCUCAAGUUACUGCAGGUAGGAUGAGCCAGGCCCUCCGCAAACUCUCAGCCAUCUGAAGGGCCAAGAGGAGGAAAGCACAGACUCUGGGGUCAGAGUGGGCUGGGUUCUAGUCCUGAUCCUGUCGCUCUUGGCUGUGUGGCCUUAGACAAGUUGCUUCACCUCUCUGAGCCUCCCAGCAUGCACUGUAGAAUGGAGAUGAUAACAACCCCUACCUUGCAGGAGGAGGUGAGGAUUAAAUGAGGAGACAAAUACAAGAGUCUGAGAAGCAGCUCCUUAACCCUUAACCUCCUUUCCUGUUAAUAGGGUUGUUAUGAGGAUGAAAGAAAUCAGAGUCUAAGAUGUUUAGCCAAACUGUUCUCUGUCUGUGUGACUGUGGCCAAGCUAUGUACACUCUCUGGGCUUCAGUUUCCCCAUCUGUAAAAUGGGCACGUUGACAGUACUAUCUCAUAGGGUAAUUGUGAGGUUAAUACAUCUAUUGUGAGGCUUAGAACAUACCUGGCACUUAAUAAAUGUUAGCUAUGAUGUAUAGCAAUUAUUGUAAUCAUACAGUGAAUGCCAGUUAUUGGGAUGAUAGAUUGAUUUCAGUUCAAUUCAACCCCUGCUGCAGGCUUCUGUCCCAUGCCCAUGACAUGCAUUUCAGAGCAUCUAAGCUCUGUCCCUGUGUUGUGAGAAAGUUGAGUGUGGAGCACCCAUGACCCCAGCUCCCAGUAGUGCUGCCUCCCUUGGAUUUCAGGAAAAUGUCAGUCCUUGGCCUUUUUAGAUGUCUAGUAUGGGACUAUCCAUCUAAAUGCUGUUGAUGCGUCUUUGGCCAAACUCAAGAAGAAGUUCUGUCUACUCAGCCUUCCUGUGUACCGCCGACGAGCUUCCUUUGGAGCCGGCCCCAGGACCAAGCCUGUGUCUGCAUGCACAAGACAAUGAAAACCAGGCGGUGAGCCUUCUUUCUUUUUUUGCCUUGGCUGCCAGGUACGUGCUGCCAGACUCCACCACAUAAAAGUGACUUGCUCGGCCGGGUGCUGUGGCUCACGCCUGUGAUCCCAGCACUUUGGGAGGCUGAGGCAGGCGGAUCAUGAGGUCAGGCGAUCAAGACCAUCCUGGCUAGCACAGUGAAACCCAGUCUCUACUAAAAAUGCAAAAAAAAAUUAGCCGGGCGUGGUGGCGGGCACCUGUAGUCCCAGCUACUCGGGAGGCUGAGGCAGAAGAAUGGCGUGAACCCAGGAGGCGGAGCUUGCAGUGAGCCAAGAUUGUGCCACUGCACUCCAGCGUGGGUGACAGAGCGAGACUCUGUCUCAAAAAAAAAAAAAAAAAGUGACUUGCUUAUUGGGGACAGUGCAGUGGGAGCAACAGGGUUUUUUGGUUUGUUUUUACUUUUUCUUUUUAAAUUUAAGAUUCAGGGGGUACGUGCGCAGGCUUGUUACAUGGUUAUAUUGUGUAAUGGGGAGGUUUGGGCUCCUAGUGUACCAUCACCCAAAUUGUGAACGUUGUGCCCAAUAGGUAAUUUUCAGCCCUUACUCCCCUCUCACCAUCCUGGCUUUGGGAGUCCGCAGUGUCUAUCGCUUCCAUCUUUAUGUCCAUGUGUACCUGUUGUUCAACCCUCACUUAUAAAGUGAGAACAUGUAGUGUUUGAUUUUCUGAUUUGUGUUUGUUUGUUUGUGGAGUCUCAUUCUGUCCCCAGGCUGGAAUGCAGUGGCACGAUCUCUGCUUACGGCAACCUCCGCCCCCUGUGCUCAAGCGAUUCUCCUGCCUCAGCCUCCUGAGUAGCUGGGAUUACAGGCGACCGCCACCAUGCCUGGCAAUUUUUGUAUUUUUAGUAGAGAUGGGGAUUCACCAUGUUGGCCAGGUUGGUCUUGAACUUCUGACCUCAAAUGAUCUGCCCACUUCGGCCUCCCAAAGUGCUGGGAUUACAGGCGCAUGCUACCACACCUGGCUUAUUUUUGUAUUUUUAGUAGAGAUGGGGUUUCACCAUGUUAGCCAGGCCGGUUUUGAACUCCUGACCUCCAGUGAUUUGCCUGUCUCAGCCUCUCAAAGUGCUGGGAUUACAGGCAUGAGCCACUGUGUCUGGCCAGUGUUUGAUUUUCUGUUUCUGAGUUAUUUCACUUAGGAUAAUGGCCUCCAGCCCCAUCCCUGUUGCUGCAAAAGACAUGAUUUCAUCCUUUUUUAUGGCUGCAUGGUAUUCCACAGUGUAUAUGUACCACAUUUUCUUUGUCAAAUCAACUGUUGAUGGACACUUAGUUUGGUUCAAUGACUUUGCUAUUGGAGCGCUGGUUUUGAAGCCCGAGGGAUGCCGGCUCCUGGCUCCUCUGCUCACUGCUGUGCUACAUCAAGCAAGUGGCCUCAUCACCGGAGCUUGUUUCCUCUGCAGAGAGGACUAAGAACCCUCUGAGUUCUGCCCCCUUCUAGCUGUGUGACCUGGGCAGCUCUUUUCCAUCUCUGAGCUUCAGCUUCCUCUCCUGCAAAAUGGGAAUUGACUUGUGUUAAUGACCAUGCCGCCAUGCUGGGACAAGGAUCACUCAGAGGGUGUAGCGUGGGGCCCACUAUGCGGCUGGCACUUUGUAACCAGCAACUGAAAAAUGAUGCUUUUUCAGGUAAAGAUCUGUUGGAAAUUGAAGGUUUCGUAGUCAGGGUUUGUAGAAAAGCACAGCCUUCCUGCAGCCAUUUUAAAACCGAGCUUUGCAGUGUGACUGCAGAUACUCGGCUCUUGAGUUGUGAGGAGGAGGCUGGGCAAACACCCUGAAGGAAGGGGUCAUUUCACGCAGGUAUCUGCAGUGGGCAUACCCCCUAGCCUGGCACAGCAGCUCAGUGUGCACCCUUUUUACAACAUGCACCUGAUUGCCUGUUAUUGCAUGGGGCAGGGCCUGCCAGGGCAUGCCCCCAGGGAGCAAUGCCAGGGAGCCCGGCCAGGGCACUCCCACUACCAACUGCCCCGGGAGGCUCUGCUGACGCUGCAUAAUCAAGAGAGACAGCCCCACCCAGAGGCCCCUGCAGCCCAUGUAUGGGUACUGGUGCUAAAGGAGGGUGGCACAGUCUGUGCAAUUCUGGAUGUGAUUGGUAGAGAUGUGUAUGUGUGUGAAAGUCAAAUCCAGGAGCUGCUGUGACUGGAGGCUGCUGCCCGGGCCGGAAGAUGUCCCCACCCCAUGCUCUGCCCCACAGGCUCUAUGGCAGCCGUUAGUGUCUGCGGGUUCUGGUUCUGAGACCCCACCCGUUCCUCUGCAGCCCUGGUGUCCUGCCGCCUUGGCGCCUGGGCAGAGCUGUCCUCUCUAACUUUAAGGGACACUGCUUAGAAGAUGAGGCUUGGAUAUGGGCACACGUAGGUUCACAUCCCAACUCCUCUUAGCAGCUGCAGAGACUUAGGCAUGUGACUUUACCUGUCUGAGGCUUGGUGUCCUCGUUUGGAAAAUGGGGAUGCUAGAACCUAUCUCCUUGGAUGUGGUAUGACUAUAAUAUUUGGAGAAGGAAGAGAUUCACAUUCCAUCCCUGUGGUUAUAAAGUCUCCUGUGCGGCAGGUGCUGAGUCCAACAGUCCCUUCCCUUCCCUUGUUGCUGUUAGACAUAGUGCCUGGAUCCCAGGCCCCUAAUACAUGCAGACAGCAUUUCCACAGUGUCCCGGCCAGCCCUGCUUGGGAGCUAGUGGGAAGAGGUGAGAUUGGGAGAGGCAACAAAAAUGGGAGGCCCACAUCCCAGGAGAUCAGCUUGGUACACAAGCUGCAAAGACAGGGGAGCACCUCUGCAGUCCUCUCAGGGUCAGUAGAGGCAGGACCAAUCAGACUCAUAAACCUCAAACCAUAAAUCACCCCCAUGGCUUCAUGUGGGUUGUAGGGGCUCAGUGGAUGAUUGUACUGGAAGGUAUACUUUAGAAGACAUGUGACUCAGGAAGCCCCUCCUCAACUGCCUGGCAGGAAAUAUAUGGUUUCUAUUUGCACACCUCCUGGGACAGGGAUCUCCCUCUCUCCCAAAGCCACCCUUCCACCUUCGUGGACUAGCUUUGUCCUCCUUCUCUAGUGUGGUGCCCAGAGCCAAAGCGACUUCUGGAAUGGUCUAACCAACAUGCACUGGAGCAGCAAGCCCCUCCUUUGUCCUAAAGACUAUAUUUCUGUUAAUGCAUCCCUAUUUUGCUCAUUUGCUUAUUUUUCCCUGCACAUAUUACUAUUCAUCACACCA